rnacentral:rRNA from 1 species
GAUGAACGCUGGCGGCGUGCUUAACACAUGCAAGUCGAACGGAAAGGCCCAAGCUUGCUUGGGUACUCGAGUGGCGAACGGGUGAGUAACACGUGGGUGAUCUGUCCUGCACUUCGGGAUAAGCUUGGGCAACUGGGUCUAAUACCGGAUAGGACUACUUCGUUGUUGUUGUGGCGGAAAGUUUUUUCGGGGUGGGAUGAGUUCCCGGCCUACCAGCCUGCUGGUGGGGUAUUGGCUUACCAAGACGUCGACGGGUAUCCGGCUUGAGAGAGUGUACGGCCACAUUGUGACUGUGAUACAGCCCAGACUCCUACGCGGGGCAGAGGAGGGGAGUAUUUCACAAUAGGCGGAAGCCUGAUGCAGCGACACGGCGUGGGAGAUGACGAGCUUCGAGUUGUGAACUCCUUUCGCCAAAGGCAAAUUUAUGACAGUAUUUGGAGAAGAAGCUCCGGCUAACUACGUG